AGCAAACACACAAAGACACACUAUCAGCAGUGUGUUUGUUGCAUGCUGCCCAUAUCAUCUGGUAGCUUUUCCGUCAGAUGCACGUAGGCCGUGUAACCUGAGCGGGGCUGGUGGUUGGUAAGACAGGUUCAGAUAUUGAAUGUAAUAUCUCUCUGCAGUGUGGGAUUCAAUCAAGGCAUAACAUUGGACUGGAAAACCGACAACUAGACAGGUCGGUCCAAACAUCCUGACUUUUGAGAGAUUGUGUUUACUCAAUGCCGUAACAAAAGGUGCACAAAUUAAACAGCCACGAAAUAUUUUUCCUGUUCUGAUUAGUGUUAAAUGAACAGUUUAUCAGUGGUUUACCUUUAAAUAGAUUCUUGGAAACAGGUUGCACGAGAGUUGACGAGUCACAGAGUCCAGCAAAACCAAAUAAAGCAGUGACAUGAUGGGAGUGCUGAACAAGCACACAGUCACAAUGUCCCACAUAAAAACAGCAUAAGAGCUUAAGCAAACAUGGGCUAUGAAAAGGAAAGACAGCAGGAACAAAAUGUACUUGUGCUACACUGUUACAAAUCGCCAUGCCUGGCCUUGGCCCCUAAAACCGAACAGGCUUAUCAUAAGACAUUUGGCUGGGGACGAGGAAGGCUUUUCAGCUAAGCCCCUUUUAUAAUUUCUGGUGCAUUUUUCACAUUCCCUCAAGCUAGUCGUGGCCAGCAGGAGAACCGAGAGCCUGUCGCUCUUUGGCUGUGUGUUUGCAGAGCAGGAGAGUCUGAGUUUUCACCCCUGAACCUCAGGAGACUUUCCUGUCUCUGGGGCACACUUCACAAAGCACAUGUGUGACACCUUGGCACAACACGGUGAGAUUCCAACAGGAAGGGUGUGUCCACGCUGAGGGGAAGGACUUGAAUCACCACUUAGAGGUUACCAGGUCACAAAACCUGCUGAUGUAAUCUCACCGUAGCUGGUCCUAACAGCGGGUAUAAAACUUCAAGCCGUGAGAUAACGCCAGCCAGCUACGUCACGCAGCACUGUUAUGCUGGAGGAAGAAGAAGUUUAUAAUCGCUUAUUGGGAAGUUUAUAUCGUUUCUAUAGUAACAACUCAUUCACAGGGACAUAUACAGCAGAUGCUCCACAUAAACAGAUUUAAAAACAAUGUCUGUGAUCAUUGUUGUGGUGAACUAGGGGACGUUUAUUUAACAUUUAUGGAAGGAGUCUCCAGUGUCAACACUUUGUAGCAGUCAGAGCUGCCUGUAAUUUUUAUGUUCAGGGCAGAUUUUUUUUUUUUUGGCUUAUAAACCUAUAAAGAGAGGGAACGACUGUUUGUAGCUGCUAUAAUGUAAGUGAGAACAGGAACUAACUUUGUUUCCACAACAUUAAAUGUAACUAUAAACAGAUAAAAAGUAUGAUGUGUCAUGCUUUAAUUAAUAAAAAAUUGUAAUCAUUGGUAAGUCACUGAGGUAUAAGAGGAAUACAAAAAUAUGCGUAAUAAUCCACUCCGGGGUGGUAACAGUAACUCCGUUUCAUCACUGAUUAAUUUCCUGAGUUUUUUAUUCCUUACAUGGAAGACUCCAGUGUCUGAUGUGAAAGAACUAAGACAUCACAUUAGUGGGAAUGUGCAAGGACUGAAUAUAAUAAUAUAAUAAUGAUCAGUGCCAUUACUAAUGUAAUGUAAUGUAUACAAUGAAUAAACAUUGCUAAACUGCAUGUUACAUUAAUUUAGUCUGCUGUACUACAUCUGGCCAGAAUGCUAAGCGGCCAGAACUAACAGCUGUCGAAAGAAUGGUGACAAAUCAGGUCAGAACGCCAGCCGAGCUCAUAUUCUUGUGUUUAGUCAAUGCUGUGGGGAACUGAGAAUGUCUCAGAGUCAGCCAUAUGGUUUGAGGCAGCACACACACACACACACACACUCACUCACUCCAACAUGUCCACACACAUUCUGUCUGUCUUUCUCAGCCACAGAGACGUGACACAAAUCCAAGCACCCACAGACUGUCAUCUCGCAUGAAAAUGUAAAUAUUACCAUAUUACAACAUUGGAAAUGAUUACGAAAAGGUUACUCAGCCUCUUCGUCCACCCACUGCCAUUAUUAAUCAUUUCCUCAGUUACUAUAAUGGGUCUGAUUUUCCUGGAAAUUCGUUAGGAAUUACACGGAUACCUGUAUGCUGGCCCAAGCAAGAGGAGACAGAGCCUGGGGGUGGCAUGAGUGUGUGGGUCAUCGUGGCCAAGUGGGUGGGGCAUGAAUGCUUGAUCUGAUUAUUAUGUCACAGCAUGGGCUGAAGAUGCAUUACAUGUACUUAUACCACAGCACUGCUGAAUUCUGGCAUCUGAUUGGUCAGAAGGUAUUGAUUAACAACAGCAGAAGUUAUCGUUUCUAUAGUCACAGCUCAUUCACGGGGACUUGUACAGCAGAUGAUAAUACACGGAUUACAAAAUGUGUGUAAUCAUUACUGUGGUGAAGUUUUCGAGGUCAGUCUGUCAGAUGUAAACAUGUGCAUCUGCCAUGUCAGCUUUCCAUACAGAACUGCACGGAGAGAGGCUGUAAAACCCAACCGCUGUGGGCUAAUCAGGAAUGUCCUCACACAAUUAAGCCUCUUAUUUUCAUGGUUCAAAGCCAAGUGCAGGAUGAAGAGGGGAAAAAUGCUGAAAUAUGUAAAGAUGGAAGGAAAUCCUUAUCUGGACUUGUUUCUGGCUGUUUCUUGGGCACAAAGAAAUAAAAAAAAUGUCCCUGGUUAAAUGGUGUCAUCAUAUUAUCAUUUCUGUGAAAUCAAACAGAAGAAAGUAAGAGAGCUGUGAAUUUUAUUGGUUACUUUUUAUGUGUGAAUUUGGCACUGAACCAGUUAAUAUGCAGCAUCCUGGCAUGCCUCCGAUGAGUAUUCCAGGUUUGUGCUGUGUUUCCAUGCAGUAGUCACAAGGUCAAGGCUUUC